UGCCAGCAGCCCGGUAAUACGUAGGGUGCGAGCGUUAAUCGGAAUUACUGGGCGUAAAGCGCGCGUAGGCGGUUAUUUAAGUCGGAUGUGAAAGCCCCGGGCUCAACCUGGGAAUUGCAGUUGAUACUGGCAGGCUAGAGUACGAGAGAGGGAGGUAGAAUUCCAUGUGUAGCGGUGAAAUGCGUAGAUAUAUGGAGGAAUACCAGUGGCGAAGGCGGCCUCCUGGCUCGAUACUGACGCUGAGGUGCGAAAGCGUGGGUAGCAAACAGGAUUAGAUA
rnacentral:rRNA from 1 species